UACCCGCAGCACAAGUGGUGGUCAUUAUUAUUGGGCCUAAAGCGUCCGUAGUUGGCCUGUUAGAUGCCUGGGUAAAUCGAUGCGCUCAACGUAUCGAAUUCCGGGUAGACCGGCAGGCUUGGGACCGGGAGAGAUGUGAGCUACUCGAGGGGUAGGGGUAAAAUCCUGUAAUCCUUCGGGGAGGACCAGUGGCGAAGGCGUCACAUUAGAACGGCUCCGACAGUGAGGGACGAAGCCCUGGGGCGCAAACCGG
rnacentral:rRNA from 1 species